GGCCCCACGUUCAGGCUCUGACUGUCCCGACUGGAACCUGACGCUGGCUUUGCUCCUGGAUAGCCGGGUGGCCCUGGGGUAACGCCGUUCACAUCUCCGUGCCUCUCUUUGCUCUUUGGUAAAAUGGCUGCAACAAUACAACCCUCCUCGUGGGCUUUUAUGAGCAUUAAAUAGACACACAGUUAGUGCUUGUACAGGCAGGGCAGGGAAACGCUUCUGUACGGCCCCGGGAAGCUGGAGACGUGACAUCGAGUGUGUCAGAACCGUGGAACGCACAGUGCAGGGUGAACCCUCGCGGACACUGCGGACUUCAGUGCAUAACGGCGCACUGGUUCAUCGCUGUAACAAGUGCGCCUGCUAAAAUGGCCCAGCCCCUUUGAGACUAGCCCCGUUGGGUCUACACACCAUGGCACGGGGCAAGUGACCCUGCACCCAUGCCUUGGCCUCAGCAUCUCAGCCCCUGACCAGCGUCCAGGUCGGUGCCAAGGAACUCUGAUGACACAGGCUUCCAACCAAGUAAUGAGAAGUUCCGCACACUCAGGACGCAACAGAAGAGAAAGGCUUCCUCUGACAGGAGAUCUCUGGGGAGCUGGCACACAGGAAAUCUUUGUCAAGUCUUGUACAUCCUUAGGCCAUCAAAACAAGGCUGACCA